rnacentral:lncRNA from 1 species
AUUUACAUACCAAACUAAUAUGAACAUAGCUUAUACACAUUAAAAUUUACAUCAUUAUUAAGCCAAAUCUCAUGGCUAAAUACAUAUCAAACACAUAUGCAUAAAUAGCCAAAUGUCACUUAUACACUUCAUAAACCAACUAGCCUAUACAUGCCACAUAACCAAAAUCACAAAGCUUUUGAAAUACCGAAACGAUAGCUGGAUAGUGUGAUGAAAUCUCCGACGACUUCCAACUCGAGCAAGCAUCCGAAACACUAUAAACAUAGGAAAGAAAACAAAGUAAGCUAUACAACUUAGUAAGCUCGUAUGAUAAUAUAGUCAACUUAUCAAAUAACACAUAUUAAGUAUUUACAAAUUACAAUGUUACUCAUUUGCUUUCACCGUUAUACCAUGAAUCCAUGACCAUAACUAACCAAGGGUCUCACAAGCUUAUUCAUUUCUAUGUUCAUAUAGAUCUAAUAUAUUCUCACCAAUUCAUUCACAUUUACAUAUGCAUAAGAAAUUUAAGAUAUCCCAUAUUCAAUCCAAUAUUCAUUACAUAUUCAUAAUCAAUAUAACCAUAUGGAUUUCUUAGAAUUAUCCACUUACUCAUCAUGUGAAAUUUGAUACCCUCAAUAAGCAUUUAUAUAAAUCAAGCACUUGCAUAAACUCAAACCUUUCCAUGUAAUAUACACGAGCUCACAUCUAUUUAUCAAUCUUCUUUCAUUCAAUAUAUGUAUAAGUAUCGUACGUACCUGUACCACUUAUUUCAUUUACACUUUUAUUCUCGUCUUGACUUUGCCCGUCGAACCAUUCGGAAUUGCUAAGGAUUCUCAGAAAUCUCGUAUAACUCGCACAAUGUCAUAUCCCAGAUAUGGUCUUACAUGCUAUCACAUAUCGAUGCCAAUAGCCAGCUAUGGUCUUACACGAAUCUCAUAACGAUGCCAAUGUCCCAGACAUGGUCUUACACGAAUCUCAUAUCGAUGCCAAUGUCCCAGACAUGGUCUUACACGAAUCACAUAAUGAUGUCAAUGUCCCAAACAUGAUCUUACACGUAAUCACAUCAAAGUAUCCUAAGCUAUUCCUAAUGUUCGUACGAGACUUUCGGAUGUCGUAACUUUGUCGACUCAUGCUCGUACUCAUCCAAUCAACAUUCAAUUCAAUUCAAUGAUAAAUGAACAUUUAGAACACAAUUUAAGAACAUUAUUUAACAUACAAACUUACCUCGUUCGUUGAAACGACGAAUUAGGUCGACUAAUCCAAUACGUAGUUUUUCUCUUGUUUCUAGGUCCAAAUCUUAUUUUUCUCAAUAUAUAUAAUAACAAAAUUUACUUAUUUAAUCACUAAUUCACUCAAUUUAACAAAAUUUACACAUUAGGGAAAUUGUACACUUUUGCCCUUAUACUUUCACAUUUUUGCAAUUUGGUCCUUAUCACAUAAAAUCACAAUUUCUUGAAAUUAAACACAAACCCAAGCUAGCCAAAUUUUUAUUAUUGCCAUAACAACCCACAUUUUUCAUUUAUUCACACUUUUACCACACGAUUUAUCAUUUUUCUCAAUUCAAUCCAAAAUUGACACUUUUACUCAAAAUCACUUUACCAAACAUGUAAACUAUCAUCAAAAUUUCGUAUUUCAUCAUCAAAAAUCAAUUAAAUCAUGUAUUUAGAAAUGACUACUAUCAAAAUCUUUAACAGUUUCGAAAUUGGAGGUACGGGCUAGCUAGAUUCCGAAGCAACGAUCUAAAAAACGUAGAAAUUAUUAAAAACCGAGCAAAAAUUACUCACCAAAUAAAGCACAAAACUUGGCCUAUUGAAGCUUCCAUGGCUGUUCAUCUUUCUCAUUUUCGGUGGAAGAUGAUGAAUAGAAAGAUGAAAUUUGGUUUUAUUUUAUUUAUUAUCAUUAUUUACCUUUUUACUAAAUUAACCUUUAAAAUUAAUCAAAUUUACACAAAUGCCAAACCAAAUAUCAUCCACUAACUCACAAAUGGAUUAAUUAUCACAUAAGGACCUUUACUUUAAUUUUCUAUAGCUAUUUGACACUUUUAGCUAAUAGAACACAAGUUUUAUACUUUACGCAAUUUAAUCCUUUUUAUCGAAUUAACCACUUAAACGGUAAAAUUUCUUUACGAAAUUUUCACACGAAUAUUCUAUCAUACUGUAAACAUUAAUAAAAUAAUAAAAUAAUUAUUUUGACCUCAUAUUGUUGUCCCAAAACCAUUGUUCCUACUAACCCUAAAAUUAGGUUGUUACACUUUUCCACUGCUCAACCAUUGAUGACCAACCGCCGCAGGCAUCGGGACGCCGUCGCAGCCACCAGCAUCGCUGUGUCUGGUGAUGCAGGUGCGACACCCUUACAGCACCCCGAGCCGAUUCGGCUACUGCCGAUUCAGUCUAGGUCAUUGACGAUCCAACCAGUCCAGUCUAGCCACUGGUAGGACAAUCGGCCCGGUUCGACCAGUUUUUGGGUCUUGGUCUCGGUUUUGGGCUCCCUAGCCCAAUUUACGAUCUUAGGUCCAAUUUUCAAGUUAAAUUACCCAUUGGGCCAAUUGUCUGACUUGAAAAUUAACUUUCAAAAAUAUCAUAUUUAUUUUAAUUGGUUUGAUUAAUUUAAUUUUACAUGAUCAAAAUUAAUUUUUUCAAAAAUCAAUUAGAUUUUCCAAAUUAAUUUUUUAAGAAAAUUCUUUAAUCAAAUUCUCUAGUUGAACAAUUCUUACGACCACCUAAUUUACUUCCACAUCGAAUAAAUCAACUCAAUUAAAUUAUUCUCAAAGUCGUAGAAUUUAAUUCUGAUUCAAAUGCAGUCUGAUCGAGUUUUUUUUGAGCUAGCGAAGGGACCAAUCAAACAUAUACAAUUAGACUCUAGUGAUUGCAAUUAUGUCCGGAAGCAUCGUUCCGAUAAUUCGCAAUUACUUAAUCAUGGAGUCAGUCCACAAGAAGUACCAUAAUUGAAAACUUCUUAUUGUAUACUCUUUACAAAAGCAAUUCAUCCGACUACUUUGUCCAAUGACCUCGUCAUGUGUGUGUUACCCUCAUAUGAUAUCUUUGAUUCCUUUGAGUUAAAUCCGUUCACUCAAUACAAUCCUAUUUUAUCUCAUUUUCACCAAUGUGUCUUCUUAAUAAUUAAUAUGAUCACUGUCAACAAAUGACUGUGAUAAAUUGCUCAUUCGAGAACAAGCAACCCGUGGCCAUGUUCCAUAUUUAUCAAUCCACACAAUGCCAAUGAGAGGAUAUCAUUAACUUUUUAAUUGAGCUAUGAACUUCAUUAUUGCUAGUAAAGCCAGGCCAUACACAAGUAAUGUAUCAACAUACCAACUAUGGGCCCGAUCAUCUUUAGAGCAUAAGCCUCCACUUAUAUCAAAGCAAAGGAGUUGCAUACACAUAGUUAGUGAUUAACUCAAGAUUUAGGUAAAUCACAACAUGAACGUCAUAAGUGAAUUAAUUCACAAACGGAUUCAGAAUUAAUUCAUUUUGGGUCUAGUCCAAUGUAUCAUUCUACCAAUGAAUACGUCAAUGUCUCUACUCGUGGAGUCAACUGCUCCGAUAGCCAAUACUAAUCAUCUCCCAAUUGGAAUUGUAGAUGACAUGAUAAUCCUUUUCAGUAUUUGAAUCAAAUAAUCACUUUAAUUCUUUUACUUGAUUACGGACUCAUCUAGAUUAUCUACUGAAGUAAGUUGUCUUCCUCGUAAUGUAAACGUUCUUUAGUUUGAACUUUAGACAAUCAAUGAGCUAAUAUUUGUUUGUCACAAUUUCGCUAUACAUGUAAAAUAUAAAAGACAGAAAAUUCAAAAGACAUAAUAGUGAAAUGUGAAAUUAACUUUAUUUAUUUAUUUAUCGUUCAAAUAAAUAGAAAACAAUUACAUGUUUUGUAACACCCCUUACCCGUAUUCAAUACCGGAAUAGGGUACAAGGCAUUACCAAAACACAUGCACUUGUAAACGUAUUUAACCGAGUUAUAAAAUUUCAUCUAAAUUAAAACUUUCAAAAUAAUUAACAUGCUCCUAUAACUUUUCACAGUAUAUCCUCAAAAUGUUAUAAUCAUAAUAAUUAGGGCUUACGAGACCCGAUACAUACUCAUGCAAUUCAAUGCUUCAUUUCCAUUUCCUUCAAUUCGCAAUUUCUCAAGCUCACGAUUUAGAUCAUAUCACUAGCAAUUUCCAUUUAAUUCACAUACAAUUCAAUGACAUCAAGUUCAACACUAAUACGUAUUUACCAUUUAACUCAAUGUUUAUUGAUUAUAACAUUCAAUAACACAUUUAUGAAAUUCUCAAUUUUGUAAUGAAAAUAUCACUUUAGCUUGAAUAACAACAUCGUCCUGAUAUAAAUACACUACCACUUAUCCAUUUACUUUAAUUCUUUUGGGCCCAUUUGUCACUUACCAUCCUUAAUCAAAUUAGGGAACGGUUACAGACAAUUGAGUACUUCACUUUCACUUUGCCAUAGAAUAACUAUGGUCUUACGUAUGAUCACUUAUCACUUGUCCCUGAUCAGAUAAGUGUAGCUAGGCUACCACUUAUCACUUUGUCACUUGGUCAGAUAAGUGUAGCUAAGGCUACCACUUAUCACUUUAUCUCUUGAUCAGAAGUACUCAAAUCCGGCGUUCCGCUUAAUUUGAUCAUUUAUUCGAUUUUUCACAUUUUUAUUUUAUUCUCAUUUCAAAAAUGAAUACAUUUCAUCAUACAUUGUAUAAUUCAUGAAAUUAACAUUUAAUCAUUAAAUUUCAGCCAUAUGAACUUAUUAUUUCAUUAUCUUUCCACACUUGUUUCUAUGCACAUCACACAAGAUAUAAGCAUAUCAUUCAACCAUAGUUGCAAGCUAGUGUAUUUAAACAUAACUCUUUUUGGAACUAACCACACGAUAAACCAUUUCAAUGCAUAACUUAUAAAUUUAACGUGGCAUAGUCUAGCCACUACUUGGCCAAAGUCUAAGCAAAUACACCAAAUAUGUUAGCCAAAUACACGUAUAGCAUAAGCAUUAUAAGCAUGGAUGAGCACAACAUUUAUUCAUGUAUCAGGCUUACCAACAUGUGUUAAUUCAUAAACCAUUCAUGACAUUAUUUCAUGCCAAAUCAUAUACCAAAUAUACCAUACACACAUACUAUGAAACUUUUAUUUUCACACAUGAGCUUAAACCAUGACCAAUAAUGCACAAAUAUAAGCAUCAUUUCUAUUUCAUCGUUUAUCAAUUAAAAUCAAGCAUAUGACCAAUUAUACACAAAUCAUUCAUAUAUUUCCCAAUUUUCCUCCUCCUCCUCUCCAUUCCACAUCCUUAACGUGUAUAACAUACUUAAACAACAUUAGCUAUAAUUUCACUAUUCACUCACAUGUAUAUUCAAAACUGUUUAUCCGAGUCAGAGUCACUAAAUUAUUUUUAUCUGGAGCUACAGAGCUCCAAACUAAGAUCUGUUAAUUUUCCCUGAAACUAGACUCACAUAUCUUCAAACCAUAAAAUUUUCAGAAUUUUUGGUUCAGCCAAAUAGUACAGUUUAUUCUUUAAAGUUUCCCCUGUUUCGCUGUCUGACAGUUCCAACCACUCUUCACUAAAAAUUAAUUAUAUCAUUGUACAGAAUUCGGAUGAUGUUUUUGUUUGUUUUUUUCUAAAAAUAGACUCAUUAAGGAUUCUAACCAUAUAAAUUAUAACUCAUAAUCAUUUUUUUAAAAUUUUUAAUGAUUUUCCAAAGUCAAAACAGGAGAACCCGAAUUCAUUCUGACCUUGUCUCACAAAAUCUAUUAUAUCUCAUGAUGUACAAUUCCAUUGCUCACACCGUUUCUUUUAUAAGAAACUAAACUCAAUAAGCUUUAAUUUCAUAUUUUAUUCAUCCUCUAAUUCAAUCUCUAAAAUUUUUGGUGAUUUUUCAAAGUUACACUACUGCUGCUGUCCAAAACUGCUUUAGUGCAAAAUGUUGAUUUCCAUUUUGCCCCAAAUUUCACAGUUUAUACAAUUCGGUCCUUUCUCAAUUAACCCCUCAAUUAAUCUAAUUUUCUCAAUUACUACUUUACCUAGACAUUAUAAGUUGUUACACAACUAUUGAAAUUCAGAAUUUCCACAUAUAACUCUAUCUUCAAACUCUUUUACUAUUAGGUCCCAAACAUUCACUUUCUAUUCAAUUCUUUCAAUAAAAUCAGCAUAUGAACAAUUUAAAGCUCUAAUUGCAUGCUAAAUCAUCAUAUAAUUCCAGCACAUAUUCAUAUCAACUUUCAACUUCUUUCAUAAAAUCAAAAACUACUGAAUUUAACAAGUGGGCCUAGUUGUAAAAGUCAUAAAAAUACAAAAAUUUCAAGAAAUAGUCAAGAAUUGAACUUACUUGUAAUAAAAAUAUGAAGAAUCAGCUUGAAGAAGCC